UGCCAGCCGCCGCGGUAAUACGGAGGGUGCAAGCGUUAAUCGGAAUUACUGGGCGUAAAGCGAGCGUAGGCGGUUUAAUAAGUUGGCUGUGAAAGCCCCGGGCUUAACCUGGGAUGGUCGGUCAAAACUGUUAGACUAGAGUACAGUAGAGGGGUGUGGAAUUUCCGGUGUAGCGGUGAAAUGCGUAGAGAUCGGAAGGAACACCAGUGGCGAAGGCGGCACUCUGGACUGAUACUGACGCUGAGGUUCGAAAGCGUGGGGAGCAAACAGGAUUAGAUA
rnacentral:rRNA from 1 species